rnacentral:rRNA from 1 species
CAAUAGCGUAUAUUAAAGUUGUUGCAGUUAAAAAGCUCGUAGUUGGAUUUGUGGCGUACGGUGUGUUCCGGGCACUUGUUGUCUGAGUAACCUGCUGUUGCCAUCCUUGGGUGGAACCUGUGUGGCAUUAGGUUGUCGUGCAGGGGAUGCCCAUCAUUUACUGUGAAAAAAUUAGAGUGUUCAAAGCAGGCUUAUGCCGUUGAAUAUAUUAGCAUGGAAUAAUGAGAUAGGACUUUUUUGCUAUUUAGUUGGUUUGCGCAAAGAGGUAAUGAUUAAUAGGGACAGUUGGGGGUAUUCGUAUUCCAUUGUCAGAGGUGAAAUUCUUGGAUUUUUGGAAGACGAACUACUGCGAAAGCAUUUACCAAGGAUGUUUUCAUUAA